AUCGGGCCCAGGAUGUAGAGUUGGCGGUGCCUGACGGCGCGUCUGACGCGGAGCUGGGUGGGGUAGAGAGUAGGGGGCGGUAGUCAGGGGUGGUGGGAGAAGGAGGCGGCGGCGGUGAAUCUUUUAUAAAUGGCGCCGAAGCAGGACCCGAAGCCUAGAUUCCAGGAGGGUGAGAGAGUGCUGUGCUUUCUUGGGCCUCUUCUGUAUGAAGCAAAGUGUGUAACAGUUGCCAUAAAGGAUAAACAGGUCAAAUACCUCAUCCAUUACAGUGGUUGGAAUAAAAAAAGUGCUGUGAGGCCCAGGCGCUCUGAAAAAACUUUGAAGACACAUGAGGAUAUUGUAGCCCUUUUUCCUGUUCCCGAAGGAGCUCCCUCCGUACACCACCCAUUCCUGACCUCUAGUUGGGAUGAAUGGGUUCCGGAAAGCAGAGUACUCAAGUAUGUGGAUACCAAUUUACAAAAACAGAGAGAACUCCAAAAAGCCAAUCAGGAGCGGUAUGCAGAGGGGAAGAUGCGAGGGGCUGCCCCUGGAAAGAAGACUGCUGGGCUACAACAAAAAAAUAUUGAAGUGAAAACGAAAAAGAACAAACAAAAGACACCUGGAAAUGGAGAUGGUGGCAGCACUAGUGAAACACCUCAGCCUCCUCGAGAGAAAAGGGCUCGAGUAGAUCCUACUGUUGAAAAUGAGGAAACAUUUAUGGGCAGAGUUGAAGUUAAAGUCAAGAUUCCUGAAGAACUGAAGCCAUGGCUUGUUGAUGACUGGGACUUAAUUACCUGGCAAAAACAGCUCUUCUAUCUUCCCGCCAAGAAGAACGUGGAUUCCAUCCUAGAGGAUUAUGCAAAUUACAAGAAAUCGCGAGAAAACACAGAUAAUAAGGAGUAUGCAGUCAAUGAGGUUGUGGCCGGGAUAAAGGAAUACUUCAAUGUGAUGUUGGGCACUCAACUGCUCUACAAAUUUGAGAGGCCGCAGUACGCUGAGAUCCUUGCGGACCACCCUGAUGCACCCAUGUCCCAGGUGUACGGGGCGCCACAUCUCCUGAGACUGUUUGUACGAAUUGGAGCAACGUUGGCCUAUACACCUCUGGAUGAGAAGAGCCUUGCUUUAUUACUGAAUUAUCUUCACGAUUUCCUAAAAUACCUGGCAAAGAACUCUGCAACUUUGUUUAGUGCCAGUGAUUAUGAAGUGGCUCCCCCUGAGUACCAUCGGAAAGCCGUGUGAGACACGUGCACCCACCCAUGUUUGAUCUCUGUAAACACCUUUUUGUUUCUUCGUCCUUCUCUUGUACAAACAAUGUACUUUGGAAAUGUUCGUGUAUAACAAAAUUGAUGUUUGUUUUCUGUUUGAUUUUAAACAGAGAAAAUAAAAGGAGUUACAGCUCAAA